CGCCGAGGAGGAAUUCGUCAAGUACUCCCAAGUGUUGAAGGCUCGCAGCAGUGCUGAAAUUGACACUGACACUAGACUGAAUCAAGAGCAGUUCAACAGGCUCCAUGUCAAUUGUUGAAAGGAAAGCAUAUCGACGAGCUAGACGAUGCCACAUUGGAACGCAAGUACCCUAUUGAGCUUGCCUUGGGGGAUAAAGACUUAUCCCCUUACCUGGAAGAGGGCGCCUUUGGCUGGUAUUUCGACUCCGACCUCUGUUUACUUGCAUCCUUGAGCGAUUACCAGCGGCUAGUCCUUCCUAACUGUACUUGGAGUGAGUAUGAAAGCUUGAGUCAAUACAUAGCGUUUUAUAACACCCCUGAAGUUGAUAGAGAUUAUGUGCAAUACUGGGAAAAGAUGGUCAAGGAAAUUAAGUGGCUUGAAAAUCAUGUGCUUAAAGAAGGUACUCCGGAGGUAGGCCUAUAUGACCUCUCAAAACCAUGGAAUGACAACUAAUCUCUACAUACGCGUUGUAGCAUCACAUUAACUUUCCUGUUCUACUAUUUAGUGGGAUCAAAUCCGUCGUAAGGGUUUAUACCAAGCAAUUAGGAUUGCU